rnacentral:rRNA from 2 species
GAUUUCUGGUUCGGCGCACUUGGCCCGUCUCGGUUUACGGGAUUGCGUGCCGGUGUGCGCCAUCCAUCCUUCGGGAAAUACACAGCUACCCUUCACUGGGCCGGUUGUGCUAUCCCGAUCUUUUACUUUGAAAAAAUUAGAGUGUUUAAAGCAGGCUUUUGCUAUGAAUACAUUAGCAUGGAAUAAUAAUCUAGGACUUCGGUUCUAUUUUGUUGGUUUCUAUAACUGAAGUAAUGAUUGAUAGGGAUAGUUGGGGGUGCUAGUAUUGGCCGGCCAGAGGUGAAAUUCUUGGAUUCGGUCAAGACUAACUUAUGCGAAAGCAUU